GGUUCAGGAUGAACGCUAGCUACAGGCUUAACACAUGCAAGUCGAGGGGCAGCGGGGAUCUAGCUUGCUAGAUUGCCGGCGACCGGCGCACGGGUGAGUAACGCGUAUCCAACCUUCCCCUUAGUAGGGCAUAGCCCGUAGAAAUGCGGAUUAAUACCCUAUGUUAUUCGUCGAGGACAUCUGAAGUGAAUCAAAGGUUUACCGCUAAGGGAUGGGGAUGCGUCUGAUUAGGCAGCAGGCGGGGUAACGGCCCACCUGGCCUACGAUCAGUAGGGGUUCUGAGAGGAAGGUCCCCCACAUUGGAACUGAGACACGGUCCAAACUCCUACGGGAGGCAGCAGUGAGGAAUAUUGGUCAAUGGGCGCGAGCCUGAACCAGCCAAGUAGCGUGCAGGAUGACGGCCCUAUGGGUUGUAAACUGCUUUUAUGCGGGGAUAAAGUUCACUACGUGUAGUGUUUUGUAGGUACCGCAUGAAUAAGGACCGGCUAAUUCCGUGCCAGCCGCAGC
rnacentral:rRNA from 1 species